AGCGAACGCUGGCGGCAUGCCUAACACAUGCAAGUCGCACGGGGGGGCUUCGGCCUCCCAGUGGCGGACGGGUGAGGAACGCGUAGGGACCUGUCGAGGGGUGGGGGAUACCGCGGGAAAAUGCGGCCAAUAACGCAUGACGCCGCCGCGUGACCGCCGGGGCCAAAGGCGAAAGCCGCCCGCCGAGGGGCCUGCGUCCGAUUAGCUGGUUGGCGGGGUAGCGGCCCACCAAGGCGUCGAUCGGUAGCUGGUCUGAGAGGGUGAUCAGCCACACCGGGACUGAGACACGGCCCGGACUCCUACGGGAGGCAGCAGUGGGGAAUAUUGGACAAUGGGCGCAAGCCUGAUCCAGCAAUGCCGCGUGGGUGAAGAAGGUCUUCGGAUUGUAAAGCCCUUUCGGCGGGGACGAUGGUGACGGUACCCGCAGAAGAAGCCCCGGCUAACUUCGUG
rnacentral:rRNA from 1 species